rnacentral:lncRNA from 1 species
GGGAGUAGUGGGAGCUGCUGCUGCUGCUUCGUUCCUCUGCGGCUGUAUGUUGAGAGAGCUUGCUGUUUCGGUUUGUGUUGCGUGCAGAGAUAGGGGAGGAGGAGCUUCGCAGAGAGAUGAGCGCGAAGGUCCGCCUGAAUCCUUGGGGGAGAAAGAGGAAUCGUGCGUCAGGUUUAAGUUCCAGCAUCAGAUAUCGAAUUACCAGAGAGGCAAUUGCGAUGAGGAACCAGAAGCUGCGGUACCUGUUGAUGGAGGAGAUGAGUCUUCUCACGGCUUCUCGUCCGAAAAAGACUUCCGCGGGUUCAUGGAAGAGCCGAAAGCCGCAACCUCUUGUACCGAGCUCGAUUCAGGAGAAGAAGCAGCAGCUGCUGCCGAUGAUGAUGCCGUGCAC